rnacentral:rRNA from 1 species
AUUGAACGCUGGCGGCAGGCCUAACACAUGCAAGUCGAACGGUAACAGGAAGAAGCUUGCUUCUUUGCUGACGAGUGGCGGACGGGUGAGUAAUGUCUGGGAAACUGCCUGAUGGAGGGGGAUAACUACUGGAAACGGUAGCUAAUACCGCAUAACGUCGCAAGACCAAAGAGGGGGACCUUCGGGCCUCUUGCCAUCGGAUGUGCCCAGAUGGGAUUAGCUAGUAGGUGGGGUAACGGCUCACCUAGGCGACGAUCCCUAGCUGGUCUGAGAGGAUGACCAGCCACACUGGAACUGAGACACGGUCCAGACUCCUACGGGAGGCAGCAGUGGGGAAUAUUGCACAAUGGGCGCAAGCCUGAUGCAGCCAUGCCGCGUGUAUGAAGAAGGCCAUCGGGUUGUAAAGUACUUUCAGCGGGGAGGAAGGGAGUAAAGUUAAUACCUUUGCUCAUUGACGUUACCCGCAGAAGAAGCACCGGCUAACUCCGUG